rnacentral:rRNA from 4 species
GCGACCUGAACUCAGUCGAGAU